rnacentral:rRNA from 1 species
AGAGUUGAUCCUGGCUUAGGAUGAACGCUAGCGGCAGGCUAACACAUGCAAGUCGAGGGGCAGCGGGGAUAGCAAUAUCCGCCGGCGACCGGCGAAAGGGUGCGUAACGCGUGAGCAACCUGCCCGUAUCCGGGGCAUAAGCGGUGGAAACGCCGUCUAAUUUCCCAUAACAACAGAGGCUGCAUGACCUUUGUUUGAAAGAUCCGUCGGAUACGGAUGGGCUCGCGAGACAUUAGCUAGUCGGCGUGGUAACGGCACACCGAGGCGACGAUGUCUAGGGGUUCUGAGAGGAAGGUCCCCCCACACUGGAACUGAGACACGGUCCAGACUCCUACGGGAGGCAGCAGUGAGGAAUAUUGGUCAAUGGGCGCAAGCCUGAACCAGCCAUGCCGCGUGAAGGAAUGAGGCCCUAUGGGUCGUAAACUUCUUUUGUGGUGGAGCAAUAAGGCGUACGUGUACGCUGAUGAGAGUACAUCACGAAUAAGCAUCGGCUAACUCCGUGCCAGCAGCGGC